AUGUCAAGCUGGACAAACUUGACAUCCCUGCAGGCAUGCAGCUCAAUUUGCCCCUUGUUGACAUUCAUCAUGAUGUCGACAUAUGGGGCGCUAGUUGCGGAGGAGUUUGAUCCGUCGAGGUUUGCAGAUGGCAAGAGCUAUCACCUCGGCGCCUACUUCCCCUUUGGGAUUGGCCCUGCCAUCUGUGUUGGCCAGAAUCUCGCGAUAGUCGAGGCAAAGCUGGUGAUUGCAAUGGUCCUCCAGCGGUUUGUGCUUGAUGUCUCGCCAUCCUAUGUUCAUGCGCUGAUGAUGGUGAUGACCCUCCAACCCCAGUACGGUGCUCAAGUUCUUGUCCGCAAGAUCUGA
rnacentral:rRNA from 1 species